CGACCUUGCCUAGUGGGGGGGGAUAGCCGGCCCAACGGCCGGGUAAUACCGCAUAGGGUAGUCUGGUUGCAUGACUGGACUAGCAAAGCUGCUCAGCAAUGGGUGGCACCACAGGGGGGCUCGCGGCCUAUCAGCUAGUUGGGGGGGUAAUGGCCCACCAAGGCGACGACGGGUAGCUGGUCUGAGAGGAUGGCCAGCCACAUUGGGACUGAGAGACGGCCCAG
rnacentral:rRNA from 1 species